UACGUAGGGGGCAAGCGUUGUCCGGAUUUAUUGGGCGUAAAGAGCUCGUAGGUGGUUCGGUAAGUCGGAUGUGAAAUCUCCAGGCUCAACCUGGAGGGGUCAUUCGAUACUGCCGUGACUAGAGGUCGGUAGGGGAGUGUGGAAUUCCUGGUGGAGCGGUGAAAUGCGCAGAUAUCAGGAGGAACACCCAUUGCGAAGGCAGCUCGCUGGGACGUUACUGACGCUGAGACGCGAAAGCGUGGGGAGCAAACAGG
rnacentral:rRNA from 1 species